AUGGCUUUACUCCUCACCACUGCGGCACUUUCUGGGACCAAAUUUGGGUUUAGUACCCAAAUUUGGUCGUGACUGUGGUUGCUCUUAGAUGUUAAAAUUAGAUCGAUAAAUUGGUAGAGCUUGAGAUGGAAUUUUAGGGAUUUUGGCGAAUUUAAGAAUGAGGUUGAGUUGGUUUGAGAGGCAGAAAAAUUAAAUGUGUUUCUGAUGGAGAUGGGUUUUAAAUCUGUCGCUGUGGUGGGGAAUCACAAAAGAGACUCGGGGGUUUGAGAGAUAAAAAUAGAAUUUAGGAUCAGAUUGGCUAGUGCGCAACAUUUUGCACCAAAGUUGGAGUUGUUACUGCCAUGGGUGUUACUGCUGAGGAAGAGAUUGGUUGAUGGGGGUUUGAAGCAAGAAACUGCUGUGAAGAAAUUGAGUUUAAGAGGGUUUACUGUUGAUUAUCAGAAUUAGAAAGGGAUGCUGAUGAAGAGAAGUUAAAGUUCGCUUACAGACACCUCGCCGAAUUUUAUCAUCCUGAUGGUUGGUUAUUAAAAUCAUUGUAGAUGAGAUGUUCGAGUAAUUGCCUGAAUGGACUUUUCUUCACCAUUUCAAGCUAUAAUUGAGUUUGUGAACAAGGGUGUUGCUGCAAUCGUUUGUGUGGUUGUUUACAGGGUUCUAAGAGAUAAUUAAAUCUUGAAAGAGCACGGGAGAGAUGAUUUGAAUUGAUGGAAGUAUGGGGCUGUGUUAGAAUGCAAGGUGAGUAUGGGGAUGUGUUAUAAGGCAAGGUAAGUUGGACAACUAAUUGAAGCUUAUCUAGCAGAAAUUGCACCGAACCCAUGUCUGAAUCUGAAAAAAUUCACCAAUAUCAUUGAGAUUUUGUCUGAUUAAGCCCGUGUUAUCGAUGAUGGACUUCACAGAGCUAUUGAAAUAAGUUUAAAGGUCCUUCUCUAAGCCUCUGCAUUACUUACAAACUUGAUUUUGUGGGUAUAAUUAAUCUCUUAAAUAGAUACCCUAGUUUUAUAGUGAGACUUAAAAGAAAAAUAUACACUUAUGAACUGACACACCAAUAGUUUGCUAAUGCUUUGGUCUUUUCUCUUCAUUUUCUUACUCCAGCUUAGCCGUUUGUGUCUCUUAUCUAAGAAAUAAUGAUAAUAUUGGUUUAUGAUUAUGUAAAUUGCAAUAUCAGAUUCUCAAGCACAUCUUGCGCUAACUGAAAAUGAAUCUAAGAAACUGUGCAAGUACAUAGACUGCCAAAAGCUCUCUCAAGAAAUCAGCAACCAUGUGGCACAUAACGAUCGUCUACCAGUUCAGGUGGCAGUACGCAUUCUCUCUACUUUGAGCAGCUCCGCUUAAAAAAAGCCUACUUUAAGCACGACUUUGGAUCUUUUGCAGAAUCAUUUUAAUGGAACAUUUCCGAUGUUGCUGCUGUACAAUGUUAAUAGCAGGUUGUUACAGUUUAUGUUGGAGAGGAAAUGGAAUAUAGGUUUCGGGUUGCUAUCUUAGAAGCUUCUGACCAAGAUGCAAGGUGUCAAUACAAGGCAACUUUUCAUUAGCAGUUCAUGUGCAACAGGUGUUUGACAGAAGUCUUGAGUGAACUCAACGACUGAACGAGCUAAUAUGUCUUUUUAAGUCAUGUUAACUGCCCACGUGGAGGUUAACUUUCCAUCCAUCGGUUUUGGUCAAAUAAAGCCUAGUGUUGUCAGAAAUAAAAAAAAACAGGCUUAAAUUUGUAAACCAUAAAAAAAACAGGCCUAGAUUUGUAAAAAGCCCAAAAAAUAAAGAUCUUUUGUUAGGAAUUUGCAAAUAUUAACAUGAUAAAUUUUUAUAGCAUUGCAUGGGUAGACGGAUUUAACUUUGAAACAAUGCACUCUAGUAUUAAGAUGAUAAAUGUCCUUGUUAAAACAAACUUUUCGGAAAAAGAAUAGUUAUUGACAGGCUUUU